GCGACCUGUGACCAUGGUGGCUGUGCUGGGCGGCCGGGGCGUGUUGCGCCUGCGGCUGCUGCUCUCAGCGCUGAAGCCCGGGAUCCACGUCCCACGGGCCGGACCCGCGGCCGCGUUCGGCACCUCGGUAACCUCUGCCAAAGUGGCUGUGAAUGGCGUUCAGCUGCAUUACCAGCAGACUGGAGAGGGAGAUCACGCAGUCCUGCUACUUCCUGGGAUGUUAGGUCUGGACACUUUUUAAUGGAAUAUUUUUGCAUGCUGUAAAAUCUAUGAUGCCUUCACAAUACUAGAUGCCAAAUAUUGAUUAUUAAUUUUAGUGCUUUUCUGAAAUGUUUUCAUAUUUGCUGCAAUCAAACUUAAAUGACUUAGAAAAGUAGGUAACUUUCUACUGCUGUUCAGAAUUGGAUUUUUUAUUCCUUUAGUAAAGUACCCAGUUUUUCCUAUACAAGUACUCUGUGAAAUCACAGUUGCCCAUAAUUUGGGAGGGUGACAGGGGUCAAGGAAAGGGGUGUGGGAAUAAGGGGUAAAGGAGGAAGGUGAGUGGGUAAUCAGUCAUCCUAGUUUGCCUGGCAUUGGGGGAUUUUCCAGGAUGUGGGACUUUCAGUGCU
rnacentral:sRNA from 1 species